ACAUGCAAGUCGAACGGUAACAGGAAGCAGCUUGCUGCUUCGCUGACGAGUGGCGGACGGGUGAGUAAUGUCUGGGAAACUGCCUGAUGGAGGGGGAUAACUACUGGAAACGGUAGCUAAUACCGCAUAACGUCGCAAGACCAAAGAGGGGGACCUUCGGGCCUCUUGCCAUCGGAUGUGCCCAGAUGGGAUUAGCUAGUAGGUGGGGUAACGGCUCACCUAGGCGACGAUCCCUAGCUGGUCUGAGAGGAUGACCAGCCACACUGGAACUGAGACACGGUCCAGACUCCUACGGGAGGCAGCAGUGGGGAAUAUUGCACAAUGGGCGCAAGCCUGAUGCAGCCAUGCCGCGUGUAUGAAGAAGGCCUUCGGGUUGUAAAGUACUUUCAGCGGGGAGGAAGGCGAUAAGGUUAAUAACCUUGUCGAUUGACGUUACCCGCAGAAGAAGCACCGGCUAACUCCGUGCCAGCAGCCGCGGUAAUACGGAGGGUGCAAGCGUUAAUCGGAAUUACUGGGCGUAAAGCGCACGCAGGCGGUCUGUCAAGUCGGAUGUGAAAUCCCCGGGCUCAACCUGGGAACUGCAUUCGAAACUGGCAGGCUAGAGUCUUGUAGAGGGGGGUAGAAUUCCAGGUGUAGCGGUGAAAUGCGUAGAGAUCUGGAGGAAUACCGGUGGCGAAGGCGGCCCCUGGACAAAGACUGACGCUCAGUGCGAAA
rnacentral:rRNA from 1 species